UUGGACCUGAUAUCAGGCAAGAUUACCCGCUGAACUUAAGCUAU
rnacentral:rRNA from 1 species